GAAGGCAUAGCUCAGGUGGUAGAGCUCAUGCUUAGCAUGCACAAGGUCCUGGGUUCAAUCCCCAGUAUUUCCA
rfam:Camelus ferus unplaced genomic scaffold scaffold153, whole genome shotgun sequence.